UAGACCCGAUAGAGAAUAUAUUAUCCGAUUUUUAUGUUGAUAAGAUCCAGAUCCAUUUCAACAACACCCUGUCUCCCGUCUCCUCACGUUGAUCGUUCCCCGCGUCUGCGCCCUUCCACUUCGAUGGCGUCGACGGCGGGCUCCCACCACCACUGACAGCGAGUGGCGCCGCCCCUCUCCUGACCCUCGGCGGCGCGGCCCUGCUAUUCCCCAACGAUGGUGGCGGUCCCUCCAUCAGCCCUGUGCAGCAGUGCCCCUCCACCUUCCUGGCGUCGGCGCCGGCCCCUCCCGAGAAGAAGGCGUCCCCUCCACACUUCUCGAUGCUCGGUGAGGGCUGCGGCGAGGCUCGACAGGGGCUCUCCCAACAAAUCCGGCCGAGCAAGGCCGUGGAAUCUAGGUUGGGUGUGGCGGCGCUGCCGUUUGGAUCGGGCAUUAGGUGCGGCUUCCAGUCGCUAGCUCUCAGAACGAGUGUGGUGGUGCUGCCGUUGGGAGCCUGGGACACAGUAUGACAACAACGAUGGAAUCCAGGUUUCAUUAAGCCAGUAUAGUACGUCGUAAUUUUACUGUUGUGAUCCAUUUGUUUAUUCCCAUUUAAUCCCCUUGCACUUGCAGAACCGGGGUAAUUUAUUCCAUUAAUCUUGUUUCUAUCGCAUUGCUACUUUAAAUCAAAUAUGCGUAUGCAGUUCGUUCAACAUUGUGCCUUGCGGCAACCAUCGAGGGAUAAGGUAUUGUAUUCUUCUGUAGUUUGGAUGGGUAAGAUUAAUUUUUCAGGCAUUGAUUUUGUUUCAGGUUACAGUAUGAGUGUGACUAAAGUACCAGUUGAUACUUUUUUUUAGAGUCAACUCAUUGUACUAGUUGAUACUUUGUUCCGGACCAAAUAGAGUAUCGGUUUAUAUUAUUCUCAGAUUAGAUUAGAAGUACUGAUAGGUACUUUUUCGGAUUAGCGUAUCCAUACAUACCUUUUUUCAGGUUACUGUAUCGUCUGAUACAAUUUGGAUUAUUUUGUAUCACUUUAUACUUGUCUUAAACGUAGGGUAUCACUGGAUACUAAUGUGUUCGCUGACAUAAUUCCUCAAAUACUAAUCCAAAAUGACAUAUUGUUGUGUCGAUGCUGAUUUUGACAUAGAGGUAUGGGCAUAUGGCAACUAUGAGUGCAUUCCAAAAUCAACAACUUAAUGUUACAUUUGUUUCCUUUAAUUUCCAAUCAGGUUCUCAGCCUGUUCGUGCUCAGUGAACAGUUCAUAUACAUAUGACUAGGAGAUGACAAGCUCCAACAGGUGUUUUGGUAUUUUCAGGAAGAAUCGUUAUCGGUCUGGUGCUGGCUGCAUACACAGUGUGCUAUGUAUGAAUAAAUGAAGUUUCUUAUUCAUUGGUCACAAAAACUUUUAGAUUAUUGGUUUCGGAAUGUGCCUGCAGGAAAGACUUGCCAUAUUGUUAGUAGUAUGUUAUACCUGUUUUUUAGUUUUUCAGCCUCUCCGUACAUUUGGAGGGAUUUUGUAAUUAAAUUUUUCGUAUAGCCUGAAACAUAGUAUGUGUAUAUAUUUGCUUGCAGAGUAUAUAGGUAUGUAAGUAUGCUCUGUCAAAAA